rnacentral:rRNA from 1 species
UUCGGGAACUGGAGAGUGGCGCACGGGUGAGUAACGCGUGGGGACCUACCUUUCAGUGGGGGAUAACGGUUGGAAACGACCGCUAAUACCGCAUACGCCCUUCGGGGGAAAGAUUUAUCGCUGAAAGAUGGACCCGCGUUGGAUUAGAUAGUUGGUGAGGUAACGGCUCACCAAGUCAGCGAUCCAUAGCUGGUUUGAGAGGAUGAUCAGCCACACUGGGACUGAGACACGGCCCAGACUCCUACGGGAGGCAGCAGUGGGGAAUAUUGGACAAUGGGCGCAAGCCUGAUCCAGCCAUGCCGCGUGAGUGAAGAAGGCCUUCGGGUUGUAAAGCUCUUUCAGAUGCGAAGAUGAUGACGGUACCAUCAGAAGAAGCCCCGGCUAAUUUCGUGCCAGCAGCCGCGGUAAUACGAAAGGGGCAAGCGUUGUUCGGAUUUACUGGGCGUAAAGGGCACGCAGGCGGUCUUGCCAGUCAGGGGUGAAAGCCCGGGGCUCAACCCCGGAACUGCCUCUGAUACUGCAAGACUAGAGACUAGGAGAGGGUGGUGGAAUUCCCAGUGUAGAGGUGAAAUUCGUAGAUAUUGGGAGGAACACCAGAGGCGAAGGCGGCCACCUGGACUAGAUCUGACGC